rnacentral:rRNA from 1 species
CGACCGGCGCACGGGUGAGUAACGCGUAUGUAAUCUACCUGUAACAGAGGGAUAACCCGGAGAAAUCCGGACUAAUACCUCAUAGCACAUAUUAUUCGCAUGAAUUUUAUGUUAAAGAGACUCGGUUACAGAUGAACAUGCGUUCCAUUAGCUAGUUGGCGGGGUUACGGCCCACCAAGGCAACGAUGGAUAGGGGUUCUGAGAGGAAGGUCCCCCACACUGGUACUGGGACACGGACCAG